UACGGAGGGUGCAAACGUUGCUCGGAAUCAUUGGGCGUAAAGCGCACGUAGGCGGAUUGUUAAGUCAGGGGUGAAAUCCUGGAGCUCAACUCCAGAACUGCCUUUGAUACUGGCGAUCUUGAGUCCGGGAGAGGUGAGUGGAACUGCGAGUGUAGAGGUGAAAUUCGUAGAUAUUCGCAAGAACACCAGUGGCGAAGGCGGCUCACUGGCCCGGUACUGACGCUGAUGCGCGAAAGCGUGGGGAGCAAACGGG
rnacentral:rRNA from 1 species